GUGGGCGGAAGAGUUGGAGGUUUAUGAAGAGAGGACACAGCUGUGAGCAGUUGCCCACACCUGUAAUCCUAGCACUCUGGGACGCCAAGGUGGGCAGAUCACUUGAGGUCAGGAGUUCAAGACCAGCCUGACCAACAUAGUAUUUUUGUACUAAAAAUAUAAAAAUUAGCUGAGUGUGGUGGUACACACCUGUAAUACCAGCUCCUCAGGAGGCUGAGGCCAGAGGAUCGCUUGAGUCCAGGAAGCAGAGGUUGCAGUGAGCCAAGAUUACACCACUGCACUCCAGACUGGGGGACAUAGUGAAAUUCCAUCUCAAAAAAGAAAAAAGAAAAUCGGGCUGGGAGGACAAGGCGGGAAUAUUGCUUGAGCUCAGGAGUUCGAGACUAGCCUGGGCAACAUGGCGAGACCCCGUCUCUACUAAAAAUAGGAAAAAAUAGCCUGGCUUGGUGGUGGCUGCAGGUGCAAGCCACCAUACCCAGCUAAUUUUUUGUAUUUUUUGUAGAGAUGGGGUCUCACUAUGUUGCCCAGGCUGGCCUCAAUCUCCUGAGCUCCAGGAACCCUCCCAGUUUGGCCUCCCAAAGUGCUGGGAUUUCAGGAAUGAGCCACUGUGCUCGACCAAGUAUGUAUCAUUUCUGAACAGAAACUCCAAGAACCAGUGCAUUGUCCACCACAGGCUCUACCGUAAGACCAGCAAUAAGAUGCUUAAGAUGCUUUUGGCUGCAAGUAACAGGGCAAGACCCUGUUUUUUAAAAAAGGAAAGAAACAAAGAAAAGGAAGGAAGUUUUGAAAAAUAAAGGAAAAGGGAGGGGCAAUUUAUGGAGGAAUGAGACAGGAGGGGCCAGGACCAGAUACCGGCCCAAGUUAGGAAGAAAGAUCACUCAUCCCUCAUGACAGGGAGCAGGCAAGUGUGGGGCCAGGUAGGAGAUGAGGAAGGUCCACCCAGCAGCUUCUGUGAAGUAGAUGGCAAAGUAAUGCAUUUGGAGAGGGGCGGGGUGACAGGUAGUAGAUAUGAGGAAGCAGAGAAGGGUUGAAAAAGUCAGAGUGAAACUUUGAAGAGACAAGUGUUUGAAAAAGUAGUGAUGCCACAGAGAGGGGGCAGUUGAAAGAUCCUGGUGCCCCAGAUGAUUCAUCCCUUCCCCAACCCCAUGGACAACAAACACAAGAACGUUGACAGCUUCAUACGAUGGUAGCUUUGGGAAAUGGUGAUGGCAGAGCAGGCCCAUGGAGCCAGAGUUCUUCAACUUCGAGGGAAACUCAUCUUUCCUUUCCAUGGGUUUCAUCAAGGAUGCUUUUGGCUGCAAGUAAUAGAAAACCCUAACUCCUUUGGGAGGCCAAUGCGGGAGGAUCACGAGGUCAGGAGUUUUGAAUCCAAAAACUUAGCCGGGUAUGGUGGCGGAUGCCUGUAGUCCCAGCUAUUCAGGAGACUGAAGCAGGAGAAUGGCGUGAACCCAGGAGGUGGAGCUUGCAGUGAGCUGAGAUCACGCCACUGCACUCCAGCCUGGGCGACAGAGCGAGAUUCUGUCUCAAAAAAAAAAAAAAGAAAAGAAAAA
ensembl:lncRNA